UUAUAGAUUUUGGAUACUAGCCCUUUAUCUGAUAUGUCAUUUGCAAAUAUCAUCUCCCAUUCCAUCAGUUGUCAUUUGGUUUUGUUGACUCUCUCCUUUGCUGUGCACAAGCUUUUUAUCUUGGUGAUUGAGAUCUGUUCUAACUUCUAUUGAUUAACAGCUGGAAAAUCCAAACCAGGUGUGUAACUGCUUUGGUAGAGUUCUUUCAGAGUCAUGACAACGCUGCUUUAAAGUGAGAGGAGCUCCUGGGAAGGUAGAUACUUAGUGAAAUAGGGGGAACAAUUUACUUUGUCGAGAAUGUUAUCUUCACUUUUGUCAAAUCUUAAAAGCGUUGCCAUCAGGUUCUGAGUUGUCAGCAACCCAUGGUCAUUAUUACUUUCUCAGAAUGUCAUGUAAUUAAAAACAGGAAGAGUAGUAGCAACGACAUGAAUUUUAGAAUUUGUCUCAGUUUGGUUUCCUUCGAAAGUAGACCUGGAGAUAGAGAUUUAGUGUUGGUUGUUUAUACAGGAAGUAAUAACAAGAAGCACACUGGAGGAAGUGGGGAAAGUAAGACAGGAAGGGGAAAGAGCCAAUAAAGGACAUAUUUUAUGAGUAAGUUAUUACCACUAUGAGCAACUGGGGGUCACUGGUAUAGGAGGCUCUCCAGAAGCCACUCAGAAUGUGCCAAAGGCUGACAUUUAACCACUCUGUCCAACCCCUGUUGGUUGAGGGUUGUCCCAGGGCACAUUAAAUUCCCAUCUCCCACUUUUCCAGGUUGUGUUCCUUGCAAAUACCUAUGGUCAUCAGAAAGUCUUCAGACAAAGGAAAUAAGAAAGAAAGACAUCCGACCCAGAGUUGCCAGUGGACAGUUGCCCAAUGUGCCUGCUGGUGCACUCAAAACUUCCCUUCUCAUAAUUCAGAACAACCAUUUAUCAACUUCCCACUUCUCUUCAUUGGAAAAGUUGAGGGUUAUCUCCAAAUGGUUCUUGGAUUGUAAGGCAGAGGGAGAAAAACAUUUGCAUCCUGGGAGAAGAUUCCUCUGAUGGAGUUUGUUGAGAGAGAGAUCACAAGGAGGCAGAGACGCAGGCAGAGAGAGAGAGAGGAGGAAGCAGGCUCC